GGUGUGCACGGCCGGCUUUGGUUGGAUGGAGGAGCGCUGAUCCCCCACUUUUUCGGCCCAGAGGCCUCAGGCUCUUACCGCAGCCCAGACACCAAACCCGAGCGCUUCCACCGCUCAGCUCUGGAGACGCUUUUUGUUCUCACAGAGUGAGGCGGGGCGGCCGGAGGCCCGGGACACUAUUCUGUAUCCUGCCCUGCAAGCAGCAAGCAGAGCAAAUUAGCAGUAGUGCUAGGGUGGGAAUUCUUCAGCUCCUUCACUUUUAGGCCUUCUAAGCUCCAAGGCAUGUUUACCGUCCAUGGAGUCACCGGAAGAUCGCUCUCCAGUCAAAUAAGUUGUGCCAUUAAACAGACAAAUCAUUUCAUCUUCUGCCUGCCAUUUUGAGCUUGAGCCUGCAUAAAGAACAGCCACUGGGUCAAGAGCAUAGGGAACCCCACUGAGGACUGGCAACUGACACCUAAAAUAAGGGCAUCCUGGGAGCUGAGCCUGCAAUCUGUGAAUAUUUAAGUCCGAGAGUAUAUUCAAGCAGUUUGUGCCAGAAUUGGAUUGAAUCAAUAGACUUCCAGCUGGUGAAGACUUCGGAAUUGCUGUGUUGCUUUAAAUGGGGAGAAUUCUUAUUGAUGGUGAUGUGAAAGCAGAAGGAAAACAGGUUUUUCCCCCUCGACCAACAAAAAUAAAGCAGAAUAAAGGUCCAGUGUGGGAGACAGAAUGUGCGUUUUGAAGAAGCCCAAGAUGGACAUGCUGGGAAAGACUCAUCCUUAAAACCCCUGGAAAGGAGAGUGGCUGUGGAGCCUCCCUAUCUUCUGUUGAUUCCAGAGUGCUGCCUUUGGUGUCUGUGGGAGUCAGAAGUGUAUCUGACCCUUUUAUUGCAUCCUGUUUGGAAGCUCUGGUGUUGGAGUCAAGAUGGCAGCAACUGUCAUUCCUUUGAUAUAUGUUCAGUCUUCUCUGUACUCACUGUCUCCUGAGAAAGGACACGCAGGGAAAGAAGGGCUGGCCAGUGAAUUCUUGACAGACUUGAUACAGGAGUUGGUGUCAUUCGAAGAUGUGACUGUGCAGUUCACAGAGGAGGAGUGGGCUUUGCUGGACCCUUUACAAAGAACUCUGUACCAGAAGGUAAUGCUGGAAAACUGGAAGAACCUGGCCUCACUUGGGUGGUGCCUUGAUAAACCAAAUCUGAUAUCCCAGUUGGAGCAAGAAGAGGUUAUAAGAGAGGCCAUAGGAAGUGUUCCAGACGUCUGUCCAGAUUUGGAGGCUGUGCUGAAAGUCAAAUGGCUGGCUCCUGAGAAGCGCACAUUUGGAAAACAGCAUGUGAAUGGCCAAAGAACAGUGAAGCUGGAGGAAAAAGAUCGUCAUGGAAUGAAAAUAAAUGAAUGCAAUCAAUGUUUUAAAGUCUUCAGCACAAAAUCUAACCUUACUCAACACAAGAGAAUUCAUACUGGAGAAAAACCCUAUGACUGUAGUCAGUGUGGAAAGUCCUUUCGCAGUAAAUCUUAUCUUACUGUGCACAGAAGAAUCCAUAAUGGGGAGAAACCAUUUGAAUGCAAUUACUGUGGGAAAGCAUUUAGUGAUCCCUCAUCCCUCAGACUUCACAUAAGAAUUCACACUGGGGAAAAGCCCUAUGAAUGUAACCAGUGUUUUCAUGUCUUCCGUACCAGUUGUAACCUCAAAAGCCACAAGAGAAUCCACACAGGAGGUGAGAAUCACCAUGAAUGUACUCAAUGUGGAAAGGCCUUCAGUACAAGGUCCUCUCUCACUGGGCAUAAUAGCAUCCAUACUGGAGAAAAACCCUUCGAGUGCCAUGAUUGUGGGAAAACCUUCAGGAAAAGCUCCUAUCUGACCCAGCACUUGAGAACUCACACUGGAGAGAAGCCCUAUGAGUGUAAUGAGUGUGGGAAGUGCUUCAGCAGUAGCUUUUCUCUCACUGUACACAAGAGAAUCCACACUGGAGAGAAGCCAUAUGAGUGUAGUCACUGUGGAAAAGCUUUUAAUAACCUCUCGGCUGUAAAGAAGCACUUAAUGACUCAUACUGGGCAAAAGCCCUAUGGGUGCAACCAUUGUGGAAAAUCUUUCACCAGUAACUCCUACCUCUCUGUGCACAAAAGAGUGCACAACAGGUGGAUAUGAAUUGUGGUGAGAAAUUACUGAGAGAAAACUUCGUUGGUCCUAAUAUAACUUGAGAGAAUUUACAUCAGGAGUACAAAUUAUCUAUUGCUGUGUAAUAUAUGCUCACCUCAAUUUUUGUGGCUUUAAACAAAUACCUCAUAUUUUAUAGGUCAGGAAUAUAAGGGAACCUUAGUUGUGUAGUUCUUCCUCAGGACUUCUCAUGAGCUUACAUUCAACAAAUGAAUCUUUUGUUGAAAGAUUCAUCUUCUAAAGUUGUUACCGAAGGAGCGACUUCUAGGAUGGCUCAUCACAUGCCUGGGAAUUUACUGCUGGUUAUUAACAGGAGACCUUCACCAACUCACCAUAUUGGUGUCUCCCCAUGAUUAUGCUUCUUUAUAAUAUGGCAAAAGAAGAACCUCUCCCCAAGUGUUCCAAGAGAAGCCAAUUAACAAAUGAAGUAUCACUUAAGACCUCACAUCCAAAAGCUAUAGUUUCACACCUUCCCUAUUGCACUCGUCAGACACAGACCAGCCUUGGUAAAACGUGGGAGAAAACUGCAUAAUAUCUGCAGGUCUGGAGACAGCUCUCUGAGAACCAUCUAAGAACCUUGCCAUGAAAUUAAUGAAGUCUUCAAUAGAUGUUGAUCCUUUUAAUCUGUAGGAGGUGACAUUGAAUAGAUUGUUAAAUCUCUGUGCAGAGACAGCCGUGUGAUAAUACUUUUUAGCUCACUUCUUGUACUGUGCCCCAAAGAUGCUGUGUUGGAAAGAACCUGGUGGGUAGAAUAUUGGUCAUGUGGUAAUGGUCUUUAGUGAUGUCAGUCUUUUCAGUCUUUCUUGUGGGAAAUCAUACAUCUGAAAAACAAAAGAAAUUCGGAAAACUGUACAGCAAAGUGUUCACAUUACUUGCCACAGAUAAUGAGGUGUUCUGUCUGCUGUGAUGAUGGGAACCCUUCAGCUGUUUUUCUUUCUGAAAGAGGUAUGAGAAUGCUUUCUGAGAAGCCCCCUUGAGUAUCAUAACCAUUGGCAAGCCUUUGAGGAUUCCUGUGACAUAGGAAGAAUUUGGCAAUGAUUCUUUAAGCUCAUACAUUAGAGGGCCACCUUAGAAAAGUGACCUAACACAUGUAAGGAUGCUUAAGCAUCAGCUUUGGCUGAGCAAUUGUGUAAUAAUAUACUGUAAAUGAAAUGGAUGAGUAGGUAGUGUCUGUAGGUUCAGUUGUUAUGCCCAGAUUACGACCCCCAGUGAGACCACCAAAAACUAGAGAAGUCCGGACUGCAAAAGCAAGGUUUAUUGUUAGCUUGAUAUGGGCUAGCUUGGAGCUCGUCUCCACACUCAAUGCAGAGAGGCAGGGAGGAGCUAGAGUCCCUCUGUGGGGUUAGCUUUUUAAAGGCAAAAACCACAAGCCCUUCAGAGUGGUCAGGGGGCUUUAACACAGGUGCAAAGUCUUUGCUCUUCCCCAUCCUGUUUGGUCAGCUUGUUUUAUCUUUAGAGCGAGGUCACGCUGUCCCAGAGUUAGGACAUCAGUCUCCACCAGAUGGCCAGGUGUGCUUGUGGUUUGGCAUUUCCCUAGUGUGUGUGUGUUGUGGGGGGCACUAUCAUUUCUAGAAACAUGAAGCUAGUCUGGGGUUUUUGAUUUUAAAACACUCUGCUAGGAAAUAUCUUCUCGUUCCUUUGAGAAUAAGGGAUGCGGGUCUUACAUAGUUACCAGCUUAUUAAUUUUAAAUCUUUGUUUUAUAAACAUGUAUGCUUAUGUAUAACCCCACCCCAAACACAGCCCUUCAAAUUUCAGUGCAGUGUAUUUAUAGCUUAUCUUCUGAAGGGCAGAGUGUGGUAGUACACAUUAGUAAUCCUAGCAGUUGGGAGGCUGGCAAGGUGGAUUGUGAAUUUGAUGCAAGCUGGAACUGUCUGACAGAGUACUUUUGUCAGAGGAUAGGACUUUCUGAUAUUGAUCAUUUUUCUUCUUUCUACCUAGUGUCCAUUUUGUCCUGCUUAGGGCCAACAGGAUGACUCAGUGGGUGAAGGUACUCACCAGCAAAUCUGAUCACCUGAGUUCAGUCCCCAGAACCCAGACAGUGAAAGUGGCUGUGAGGUCUGGAGGGAGGAGAACUGUUUGGCUUCCAUCAUGAUGACGUAAGCAGUGGAACAGGAACAAUGAUUCAUUUCCUUUAAAACCUCUGACUGAGUGCAUUAGUUCUACAUUUUUUUUUUAAAUUCAUGUUUUGUUUAAAAGUAACUCCUUUACUGGUAGAAGCCAACAUGAUUUGCUGUUUGUUUUUGAGGUGAUGUUAAGUUCCAGCUCAAUGCCGUAUCUAACUGGUAAACAGAUUUGUCACAUUAUACCAUAGUUCUUUGAAAGUAAUAUAGACUCUCUUACAUGUUGAUAUAGGAUAUAUGUACAUUAAUAUUCUAUUUUAAUGGUAUGUACAAAUUGUUUUCUUUUAAAAUAAUUUUUGUUAUAGAGCCAGAGCAGACUUCCACUGUGAUUAGGAAUUAUUCAUUCUUAAAAUUUUGUCAUUUUUUUCUCUUUAUUUUGAAGUUCUGUAACUAGAUGCAUACACAACUGGGUGCUUUUUUGUGUG